rnacentral:miRNA from 1 species
CAUCCAAGGUGUUUGUAGAAA